rnacentral:rRNA from 1 species
GACGAACGCUGGCGGCGUGCUUAACACAUGCAAGUCGAACGGAAAGGCCUUUUCGGAGGUACUCGAGUGGCGAACGGGUGCGUAACACGUGGGUGAUCUGCCCUGCACUCUGGGAUAAGCCUGGGAAACUGGGUCUAAUACCGGAUAGGACCGCACUUUAGUGUGUGUGGUGGAAAGUUUUUUCGGUGUAGGAUGAGCCCGCGGCCUAUCAGCUUGUUGGUGGGGUAAUGGCCUACCAAGGCGGCGACGGGUAGCCGGACUGAGAGGUUGGUCGGCCACAUUGGGACUGAGAUACGGCCCAGACUCCUACGGGAGGCAGCGGUGGGGAAUAUUGCACAAUGGGCGCAAGCCUGAUGCAGCGACGCCGCGUGGGGGAUGACGGCCUUCGGGUUGUAAACUCCUUUCGCCAGGGACGAAGCGUUUUGUGACGGUACCUGGAGAAGAAGCACCGGCUAACUACGUG